CCCUGAUGCAGCCAUGCCGCGUGUGUGAAGAAGGCCUUCGGGUUGUAAAGCACUUUCAGUAGGGAGGAAGGUAGUGUAGUUAACACCUGCACUAUUUGACGUUACCUACAGAAGAAGCACCGGCUAACUCCGUGCCAGCAGCCGCGGUAAUACGGAGGGUGCGAGCGUUAAUCGGAAUUACUGGGCGUAAAGCGCAUGCAGGCGGCCUGUUAAGUCAGAUGUGAAAGCCCGGGGCUUAACCUCGGAAUUGCAUUUGAAACUGGCAGGCUAGAGUCUUGUAGAGGGGGGUAGGAAUUUCAGGUGUAGCGGUGAAAUGCGUAGAGAUCUGAAGGAAUACCAGUGGCGAAGGCGGCCCCCUGGACAAAGACUGACGCUCAGAUGCGAAAGCGUGGGGAGCAAACAGGUUUAGAUACCCCUGGUAG
rnacentral:rRNA from 1 species